rnacentral:lncRNA from 1 species
GGAAUAUCUGGGCCCGGAGGUCAGAGGGGUCAGACAGAUGAACCUCUCAGGUGCCCAUCUUGUGUGCAGGUGGGUUGGGCACCACGGUUCCUCUGCUCCAAUGCUGUCCGUCUGGGAACAGGGAGCCUCAGAGCAGCUGGAAAAUGCGUGCUGAGUUGCAAGCAUGGAAACUGGCUUCCCUGGCCGGGUGUAUGGGGCUGCAGCCUUGCUGUCACAGGACCAGAUCACAGACGCACGGAGGACCUCAGCCACCCUAGGCACAGGGGCCGCUGCUUGUCCCCCUGGAAAGGAGAUGUGGAACAUCUGUGUCCCAGCCCCCAAACAGGCAGGCCCUAUCCCUGCCCAAAUUCGAACUGCUGUCACCAACUAGAACGGCACCCAGGAAGCUUCUGCAGAGACAGCUGUGCUGCCCCUUGCUUGGCCAGGAGGGAGGAGUAGACCUCCAUGUCUGGGGCCCAGGGGUACUACCACACAGAGCAGCACUGCCAGACUGGCUUUGCUGGUUCCUCUGUGACCAUGCUCAGCUGCAGGCCAGGAGGGAGACAGGGCCUGGGUGGCCUGCUGUCCAUUCGUCUGUCGUUCAUCCCUUGUCAUGUAGGGGCCGAGCACUUACUGCCGGGGACAUGGCACGCUUGGAAGCCAGAAGGAAACCAGAGCGUUCAGCUCGAGGCCUUCAGCAGCCGCCCAGGGCUUGGCUGAUGGCCCCAGGUGAUGGCUCCCAGCCUGACCUGGUUUCGUCCUUGACUCUCUGCCGGCCUCCACCUACUCUGCGAGAGGCCCACAGAACCGCCCUGGGGCAGGGCCAGGAUGGGAGGCUCACCGCCCCGCUCACCCUCCUUGCCUCCAGCCUUUCAAUGUUGUCCCCUUCACUUCAAAGCCAAUAUGCAUCUUCCUUGUGGGGACUAACAAAAACCAUUGAAUUUGUUCUCUCUUUUAGACUCUCUGUUAGAAUUUUCAUGUAUUUCUCUCUCUCUCUCUCUCUCUCUAUAUAUAUAUAUAAAGAGCUAUGUAUGGAGACAGAUGGAUAAAUACAGCUCGUUUCCAAAAUCGGCAUCACAUUGCACCUGUUUAUUUGUUUACAAGUUUUCAUUCUGUCACAAGCAUUUUCCUGACCUCAUCUGUGUGCCAGACCUGGUGACUGAAGCACGCUCUCCACCUCUCGGCGUUUCCCUUCCCGGGGGCAGGGCGGGGAGAGAGUGGAUGUCCAGUGUAUCUUAAUUUAUUUACACAUUGUUCUGGGGAAACUAACUUCAUCGCAGUGAGAAAUGACCUUCCUGCCACACUGCCCAGGGCACAGGGCAUCACAAAGAUAAAUGUGAUAUGAAAACAGUGCCCGGCCCCCGAGGAGUCAUGACGGCAACAGCCACAGUACAGAGCAGGUGUUGGCUCUGCAUCAGGCACAGGACACGGUCUUGGCAGUUUUGCAGAUUUUAAGUCCUUAAUCCCACAGCAACCUACAGGGUGGGUUCUAUCCUCAGCCCCGUUUUGUAGUUGAGGACUCUGGGGCGCGUCCUGGUUGAAGCCCUCAGAGGUUACUGUGCCCCUGAGGGCGGACCUAUCUAUGCUGCUCCGGCUGUGGCGGCUGGUUUGUGGUCUCCUCCUGCUACCACCUAGACGGCCGUGUGGAAGGCACAUCUGCUGCCGUCAGCUCUGGACACCGCCCCCUGCACCCAGCCGCACCCCAGUGCUCCUGCCCCCAGCCCUGGACACCCCAGCGGCUCCCUCAGGGUUAGAGGCGCUUGCUCAGUGCACCCCUGGUGGCGGGCCUGGGGCAGCGCAUCACCUCCUGUGUCCUUCAGCGGGGAGGUCACCGGCACCGUCCAAGAGGAGGCGACGGAGAGUCACUUCAUCAGUAGAGAAUUUUAACUCUCAUGAUCCACUAAAAGGGGAGGCUGGAAGGUGAAUGCAUUGGUGGCCCCCAGUUCAUGGGAAGGCCCGGGGCUUGAGCCAGACCCGGCGUGCCUGUGCGUAUCUGCUCCUCCAGGUCAGGGCGUGGAGCUUCCACAUGCAGCCCAGAAGUCAGAUACCCCCUGCACUGGCCCUCCCUGCCCUCUGACCUCCUGACCCAUGACCCCUCUGUAGAACAGACAGACAGACCUUCUUGGCACCUGUAUUUAGAGCAUCCUGGGCGCCUCGCAGGGCUGGACAAUCCUUGGUUCAUGGGGAAACACACCCCCAAGUAGAUCUUCCCACUAUAACCUGAGAUGUUUCACUCCACAAAAGAUGGAAGUCCUUCAAACUGUGGUCGUCCUGAGGCCCUUUGUGAGCCCUGGUGUCACCAGAUGCCCUGGUCCCAGUGACAUGGCAUCACGGAGGGCCUGCCUUGGCAGACAGGAGCUGAGUGCGACCGCCUAGCCAUUGCCCAGGGACCUGGGGGUGCUGAGGCCUUGGGAGGUGAGAAGCUUCCCAGGGAGACAGGACGACCAACACAGCCAGCCCUGAGUCGUCUGAGACCAGCCCAGGCCCGGGCAGGAGGUGAGGUGCUCUCCCCCAAGGCCCUCCCCUGUCCCCCGAGGCCUGUUGCCCCAGGAUGCCGCCUGCCUGACUAUCCCAAGAGCCCUGGGAGAAGCAGCAGGAGAGAGGGAGAGCCCUGUGCGAGCGGAGUGGGGCACAAGCCCUGGUGAGGACUGCCUGGGCGUCCCCACAUUCUCCCUUGGUCUUGGAGGGACAAGUUCUCUGGGGGGUGCAGCACACACACAGCAGGAGGUUGCCGCCUGUCAACUCCUUUUGGCCUCAGGACCCUGACCCACAUGACCUCUGCUGGGAGCAGGGGAGCGAGCCCUCCAGGCUGCAGGGUAGGACCGCGUCCACUCUGACAGGGCCUUGAGGCCGGGGGAGACUGGGCGCUCCCAUUCUAGAGAUAAGAAGACUAAGGAGCACUAAGGAGACUAAGGAGGCUGCUGGGUCACGGUCCUCAUUCUGGCCCACGUCACAAGUCCCCCACCCCAGUCAGUGGGGACCCGGCCCCGGCUUCUCACAGAGGUCCUUCAAACACCCCAACAACCCCGCUGCUUCCUUGGACGCUGCAGCUAGUGGGCCCCGGGGGGCAGCCUUGUUCCUCCCCGGUGGGCUCGCACCCCCGCACCCCGGGGCGUCCUGGCCCCUCCUUCUGUGUACACACCCCAGUGAAAGGCGUCCCGGGCUCCACCGGGUCAGCAUCUUAUUUGUUUCAAAACAGCCUCGCUGCUGUCAGGAGACAGGCUUCUGGGUCCAGCAACCCGACCUGGGCCCUGACAGCCACUCACUCGUGCGGCGGGGCCGGCCCCAGGGGGGAGGGGGCAUGUGCCCUCCCGCCUUGAGUCACAGCCCCUGUCUCUCGGAAAGCACGUUUCCCCACCCCUGCCCCGGGGUCCGCAGUCCGCAGUCCGGGCAGGCCGGAGCAGAAUUCCAGCGGGAGGCCCCGCCCUGCCAAGAUGUGCCGAGGGACGACCGCUCAAGCCAAG